rnacentral:rRNA from 1 species
UACAGAGGGUGCGAGCGUUAAUCGGAAUUACUGGGCGUAAAGGGCGCGUAGGUGGAAGAAUAAGUCGUCUGUGAAAUCCCCGGGCUUAACCUGGGAAUGGCAUGCGAUACUGUUCAUCUGGAGUUGAGUAGAGGGAAGUGGAAUUUCCGGUGUAGCGGUGAAAUGCGUAGAUAUCGGGAGGAACAUCAGUUGCGAAGGCGGCUCUCUGGACCAGCACUGACACUGAGGCACGAAAGCGUGGGGAGCAAACAGG